GGGGUUGUGGCUCAGCGGUAGAGCGCUCACCUAGCAUGUGCAAGACCCUGGGUUCGAUCCGCAGCACCACA
rnacentral:tRNA from 1 species